AUGGAGGAGUCCGUCGCUGCCGGCAAGAUGCUUAACCAGGAGCAGAAGGAGCUCAUGCACUCCAAGCCCGUCAUCGCCGCGCUCAUUGACGAGCUUGAGCGCCUCCGCGUACCACUCUCCACUGCUCUCACCAAGGAGCUCUCCACCGUCCCUGCACCUGCUGCUGGUUCCUCAUCCUUUGGCUCCGAUUUGUCCAUCCAGGACCUCCUCGCGCUCAUCUACUUCGGCUCCCUUUUUUAUGUCAAGUCACCGAACGAGUUCAUCGCCACCAUGGUUGCGCGCAAGAACGAACGGAGCAGCUGCAUCACCCACGGCUACGUAUGGGAUGAUACCGUGGACCUGCUCGUGGAGAACGACCUUGACGCAGUGUCUGCUGUGGCGGCCCUUGCCGCGGCUCGCCCUUCUUCCGCAGAUGGUGUCUCCCACCAUGACGCACUCCAGGCCUGUGCCCAUCAUGCCCGCCUAUGGCUAACCCGUGCUGAUGCGCCGAUCCACCCUGGCUCCUCUGUUACAUGUGAGGGUUGA
rnacentral:rRNA from 1 species